UCUCCGUAGGUGAACCUGCGGAGGGAUCAUUACAGAGUUCUCGCCCUCACGGGUAGAUCUCCCACCCACCGUUAUCGUUACUGUCGUUUCUUUGGCGGGCCGCCGGGUCCCCGGCCGCCGGCGCCUAGCUGCCGGCGCGCGCCCGCCAGAGGCCUUCAAACUCUGAUUGUUAGUGUCGUCUGAGUACUAUUUAAUAGUUAAAACUUUCAACAACGGAUCUCUUGGUUCUG
rnacentral:misc_RNA from 1 species